UGAACGCUGGCGGCAGGCCUAACACAUGCAAGUCGAACGGUAACAGGAAGCAGCUUGCUGCUUCGCUGACGAGUGGCGGACGGGUGAGUAAUGUCUGGGAAACUGCCUGAUGGAGGGGGAUAACUACUGGAAACGGUAGCUAAUACCGCAUAACGUCGCAAGACCAAAGAGGGGGACCUUCGGGCCUCUUGCCAUCGGAUGUGCCCAGAUGGGAUUAGCUAGUAGGUGGGGUAACGGCUCACCUAGGCGACGAUCCCUAGCUGGUCUGAGAGGAUGACCAGCCACACUGGAACUGAGACACGGUCCAGACUCCUACGGGAGGCAGCAGUGGGGAAUAUUGCACAAUGGGCGCAAGCCUGAUGCAGCCAUGCCGCGUGUAUGAAGAAGGCCUUCGGGUUGUAAAGUACUUUCAGCGGGGAGGAAGGUGUUGAGGUUAAUAACCUCAGCAAUUGACGUUACCCGCAGAAGAAGCACCGGCUAACUCCGUGCCAGCAGCCGCGGUAAUACGGAGGGUGCAAGCGUUAAUCGGAAUUACUGGGCGUAAAGCGCACGCAGGCGGUCUGUCAAGUCGGAUGUGAAAUCCCCGGGCUCAACCUGGGAACUGCAUUCGAAACUGGCAGGCUAGAGUCUUGUAGAGGGGGGUAGAAUUCCAGGUGUAGCGGUGAAAUGCGUAGAGAUCUGGAGGAAUACCGGUGGCGAAGGCGGCCCCCUGGACAAAGACUGACGCUCAGGUGCGAAAGCGUGGGGAGCAAACAGGAUUAGAUACCCCUGGUAGUCCACGCCGUAAACGAUGUCGACUUGGAGGUUGUGCCCUUGAGGCGUGGCUUCCGGAGCUAACGCGUUAAGUCGACCGCCUGGGGAGUACGGCCGCAAGGUUAAAACUCAAAUGAAUUGACGGGGGCCCGCACAAGCGGUGGAGCAUGUGGUUUAAUUCGAUGCAACGCGAAGAACCUUACCUACUCUUGACAUCCAGAGAACUUUCCAGAGAUGGAUUGGUGCCUUCGGGAACUCUGAGACAGGUGCUGCAUGGCUGUCGUCAGCUCGUGUUGUGAAAUGUUGGGUUAAGUCCCGCAACGAGCGCAACCCUUAUCCUUUGUUGCCAGCGGUUAGGCCGGGAACUCAAAGGAGACUGCCAGUGAUAAACUGGAGGAAGGUGGGGAUGACGUCAAGUCAUCAUGGCCCUUACGAGUAGGGCUACACACGUGCUACAAUGGCGCAUACAAAGAGAAGCGACCUCGCGAGAGCAAGCGGACCUCAUAAAGUGCGUCGUAGUCCGGAUUGGAGUCUGCAACUCGACUCCAUGAAGUCGGAAUCGCUAGUAAUCGUGGAUCAGAAUGCCACGGUGAAUACGUUCCCGGGCCUUGUACACACCG
rnacentral:rRNA from 1 species